UGUUGUGAAACAAUGGUGAAACGCUGCUGCGUAGAGUGGGAGACAGGGAUCCAGGCCGUCUGAGUAACACCCACGUUUACAAACCCACACAGACAUUCGCAUUAUCUCGGGAGCUUCAUAAGCCAAGUGGCUGCCAUGAAAAACUCUUUGUUGGUAGCCGUUGAUUAGGGCAGUUUUGACGAACAUUAGCGUGGGGGGCAGUACAUACCAUACAAAUACAGAUCUGUAACACGACUGAAUUG
rnacentral:misc_RNA from 1 species